rnacentral:rRNA from 1 species
CACCAGACAAUCUGUCUAGAAAAGCUCCACGUAGUUUCCCUGGUUGCCAGUACCGUAAACCGACACAGGUGGGUGGGUCGAGUAGACCAAGGCGCGCGAGAGAAACCUCUCUAAGGAACUCGGCACAUUAGCCCCGUAACUUCGGGAGAAGGGGUGCCUAUUUAAUAGGUCUCAGUAAAUUGCGUUUAGCGACUGUUUAACAAAAACACAGCACUCUGCUAAGUCGUCAAGACGACGUAUAGGGUGUGACACGUGACCAAUGCGGAAAGAUCAAGGCAACUUGUUAGCCGUAAGGCGAAGCUCGGAACCUAAGUCCCCGUGAAUGUCGGCCGUAACUAUAACGGUCCUAAGGUAGCGAAAUUCCUUGUCGGGUAAGUUCCGACCUGCACGAAUCGUGUAACGACUGAACGACUGUCUCGGAGAGGAUCUCGGCGAAACUGUAACGGCGGUGAAGAUGCCGCCUGCCCGCAGUAGGACGGAAAGACCCUAUGCACCUUUACUGUAAGCUCGUAUUGGGUUCUGAUUAAUAAUGCUUAGCGUAGGUGGGAGACUUUGAAGGCGUGGCUUCGGUUGCGCUGGAGUCGAAAUGUGAAACACCACUCUUUGUUAAUUAGGAUUCUAACCCCGAUUCCUGUGAAGCCAGGCGGGGGACAGUGCGUGCGGGUCAGUUUGACUGGGGCGGUUUCCUCCCAAAGAGUAACGGAGGAGCGCGAAGGUACUCUCAGUACGGUUUGCAACCGUGCGUCGAGCGUAUGAGUAGAAGAGUGCUUAACUGUGAGACCUACAAGUCGAGCAGGUACGAAAGUAGGCCCAAAUGAUCCGAUAGUUUAAUGUGGAAUUGCUAUCGCUCAACGGACAAAAGGUACGCUAGGGAUAACAGGCUGAUCGCUGCCAAGAGUUCAUAUCGACGCAGCGGUUUGGCACCUCGAUGUCGGCUCAUCGCAUCCUGGGGCUGGAGAAGGUCCCAAGGGUCCGGCUGUUCGCCGGUUAAAGCGGUACGCGAGCUGGGUUCAGAACGUCGUGAGACAGUUCGGUCCUUAUCCACUGUGGGCGAAGGAAACUUGAGGGGUUCAUUCUCUAGUACGAGAGGACCGAGAAUGACGCACUUCUGGUGUGGCAGUUAUUCCGUCAGGGGUAGCGCUGCGUAGCCAUGUGCGGAAGAGAUAAGCGCUGAAAGCAUCUAAGUGCCAAGCUCAUCCCAAGAUAAUGUUUCCCAA